ensembl:snRNA U6 U6 spliceosomal RNA
GUGCUUGUUUCUGCAGCACGUAUGCUGAAAUGGGAACAAUACAGAGAAGAUUAUCAUGAAUGACACACAAAUGAGCGAAGCGUUCCGUAUUUUU